rnacentral:rRNA from 1 species
GAUGAACGCUGGCGGCGUGCCUAAUACAUGCAAGUCGAGCGAAGCGGGGACGGGGGAGUAACACGUGGAUAACCUCCUAUAAGACUGGGGUAAAUUCGGGAAACCGGAGCUAAACCGGAUAAUUAUAGAUGGAUCCGCUCUGCAUUAGCUAGUUGGUAAGGUAACGGCUUACCAAGGCAACGAUGCAUAGCCGACCUGGGAGGGUGAUCGGCCACACUGGAACUGAGACACGGUCCAGACUCCUACGGGAGGCAGCAGUAGGGAAUCUUCCGCAAUGGGCGAAAGCCUGACGGAGCAACGCCGCGUGAGUGAUGAAGGUCUUCGGAUCGUAAAACUCUGUUAUUAGGGAAGCGGUACCUAACCAGAAAGCCACGGCUAACUACGUGCCAGCCGCCGCGGUAAUUC